rnacentral:lncRNA from 1 species
GGUAUGAAACUGGGUUGUCUACAGGUGGUGGUAUGAAACUGGGUUGUUUACAGGUGUUGGUGUGAAACUGGGUUGUCUACAGGCCGUGGUAUGAAACUGGGUUGUCUACAGGCGGUGGUAUGAAACUGGGUUGUCUACAGGUGGUGGUAUGAAACUGGGUUGUCUACAGGCGGUGGUAUGAAACUGGGUUGUCUACAGGCGGUGGUAUGAAACUGGGUUGUCUACAGGCGGUGGUAUGAAACUGGGUUGUUUACAGGUGGUGGUAUGAAACUGGGUUGUCUACAGGUGGUGGUAUGAAACUGGGUUGUUUACAGGUGGUGGUGUGAAACUGGGUUGUCUACAGGUGGUGGUAUGAAACUGGGUUGUUUACAGGUGUUGGUGUGAAACUGGGUUGUCUACAGGUCGUGGUGUGAAACUGGGUUGUCUACAGGUCGUGGUAUGAAACUGGGUUGUCUACAGGCGGUGGUAUGAAACUGGGUUGUCUACAGGUGGUGGUAUGAAACUGGGUUGUCUACAGGUGGUGGUAUGAAACUGGGUUGUCUACAGGUGGUGGUAUGAAACUGGGUUGUCUACAGGUGGUGGUAUGAAACUGGGUUGUUUACAGGUGGUGGUAUGAAACUGGGUUGUCUACAGGUGGUGGUAAUGAAACUGGGUUGUCUACAGGUGGUGGUAUGAAACUGGGUUGUCUACAGGUGGUGGUAUGAAACUGGGUUGU